UACGGAGGGUGCAAGCAUUGAUCGGAAUUACUGGGCGUCAAGGGCGCGUAGGCGGCAAGGUAAGUCAGAUGUGAAAUUCCGGGGCUCAACUCCGGAGCUGCAUUUGAAACUGCCUAGCUAGAGUGCAGUUAGGGAAAACGGAAUUCCACGUGUAGCGGUAAAAUGCGUAGAUAUGUGGAAGAACACCGGUGGUGAAGACGGUUUUCUGGGCUGUAACUGACGCUGAGGCGCGAGAGCUAGGGGAGCAAACCGG
rnacentral:misc_RNA from 1 species